CGCUAUCACUCCUACGGGGAGGCAGCAGUAGGGAAUCUUCCACAAUGGGCGCAAGCCUGAUGGAGCAACACCGCGUGAGUGAAGAAGGGUUUCGGCUCGUAAAGCUCUGUUGUUAAAGAAGAACACGUAUGAGGGUAACUGUUCAUACGUUGACGGUAUUUAACCAGAAAGUCACGGCUAACUACGUGCCAGCAGCCGCGGUAAUACGUAGGUGGCAAGCGUUAUCCGGAUUUAUUGGGCGUAAAGAGAGUGCAGGCGGUUUUCUAAGUCUGAUGUGAAAGCCUUCGGCUUAACCGGAGAAGUGCAUCGGAAACUGGAUAACUUGAGCGCAGAAGAGGGUAGUGGAACUCCAUGUGUAGCGGUGGAAUGCGUAGAUAUAUGGAAGAACACCAGUGGCGAAGGCGGCUACCUGGUCUGCAACUGACGCUGAGACUCGAAAGCAUGGGUAGCGAACAGGAUUAGAUACCCUGGUAG
rnacentral:rRNA from 1 species